GAUGAAGAACGCAGCGAAAUGCGAUACGUAAUGUGAAUUGCAGAAUUCAGUGAAUCAUCGAGUCUUUGAACGCACAUUGCGCCCCCUGGUAUUCCGGGGGGCAUGCCUGUCCGAGCGUCAUCGCUGCCCUCAAGCACGGCUUGUGUGUUGGGCCUCCGUCCUCCUCCCGGGGGACGGGCCCGAAAGGCAGCGGCGGCACCGCGUCCGGUCCUCGAGCGUAUGGGGCUUCGUCACCCGCUCUUGUAGGCCCGGCCGGCGCUUGCCGACACAUCAAUCUUUUUUCCAGGUUGACCUCGGAUCAGGUAGGGAUACCCGCUGAACUUAAGCAUAUCAAUAAGCGGAGGA
rnacentral:misc_RNA from 1 species